AAACUUCCUCAGUUGCCAUUCUCUGCUGCUCAGCCAGAAGACUGAGAGCCAUGGGAAUUCUUCAGCCAAUUCUUUUUCCAAAUCUCAAGGAUGAUUAACUUCCAGACCAGUAAUAAACGAUGGAGGACAACACCCAACUUCCUGUUGAUGAUGUGAUUUAGGCGUGGGACUGUAGAGGAGAGGGAGAUAUGUAAAAAUGCAUCAUAAACUUUUAUCACUUUCUUAUGGAGUAGCAAUUUCAAAUCAAGGAAAAUUACCAUGCCCUGGGAAAUUACUUGCAAAUGCAUCAUGUCUCCUGAUAUUUUCUGAGUAGAAACACCGCCAGUUUCCUUGGUCAAU
rnacentral:lncRNA from 1 species